AGCCUUUCUAGAUGACCUGUUUUUCCGACUGAGAGUCUUUUGAAGUUGCACACACAAGGGGUGUAGCUGGACGCCACUCUUCUUCUGAAGCUAGCAGCAUUGAAGGUGUGUUCUGACCAGAAGCCCUCACGUCGGCCACGUCUAACUCCCUAUGCACCUCCGUGCGACCACAUGGAAGUCACCAGCCCUAACCAGCCCAUGUCCCGACCUCAGGCUGAUGAAACUAGGAAGAUGGAGCCUCACCCCCACUGCUUGAAGGCAAAUGGAUGAAUGUAGAAAGCAUCAUAUUGAAUGAGGUAUCCAAGACCCAGAAAG